GAUUGAACGCUGGCGGAAUGCUUUACACAUGCAAGUCGAACGGCAGCACGGGGGCAACCCUGGUGGCGAGUGGCGAACGGGUGAGUAACACAUCGGAACGUGCCCAGUCGUGGGGGAUAACGUAGCGAAAGCUACGCUAAUACCGCAUACGAACUCUGGUUGAAAGCGGGGGACUCGCAAGGGCCUCGCGCGAUUGGAGCGGCCGAUGGCAGAUUAGGUAGUUGGUGGGGAAAGGCCUACCAAGCCGACGAUCUGUAGCUGGUCUGAGAGGACGACCAGCCACACUGGGACUGAGACACGGCCCAGACUCCUACGGGAGGCAGCAGUGGGGAAUAUUGGACAAUGGGCGCAAGCCUGAUCCAGCAAUGCCGCGUGUGUGAAGAAGG
rnacentral:rRNA from 1 species